rnacentral:rRNA from 1 species
UACAGAGGGUGCAAGCGUUGUUCGGAAUUAUUGGGCGUAAAGCGCGUGUAGGCGGCUUUGCAAGUCGGGUGUGAAAGCCCUCAGCUUAACUGAGGAAGUGCGCCCGAAACUGCAGAGCUUGAGUACCGGAGAGGAUGGUGGAAUUCCCCAAGUAGAGGUGAAAUUCGUAGAUAUGGGGAGGAACACCGGUGGCGAAGGCGACCAUCUGGACGAUACGUGACGCUGAGACGCGAAAGCGUGGGUAGCAAACAGG